UGCAACACCAACCUUCCAUACUGAUGUC
rnacentral:piRNA from 1 species